UACGUAGGGGGGCUAGCGUUGUCCGGAAUCAUUGGGCGUAAAGCGCGCGUAGGCGGCCAGAUAAGUCCGGUGUGAAAGUCACAGGCUCAACCUGUGAAUGCCGCUGGAAACUGUCUGGCUCGAGUCCGGGAGGGGGCGAGUGGAAUUCCUGGUGUAGCGGUGAAAUGCGCAGAUAUCAGGAGGAACACCAAUGGCGAAGGCAGCUCGCUGGAACGGUACUGACGCUGAGGCGCGAAAGCGUGGGGAGCGAACAGG
rnacentral:rRNA from 1 species